rnacentral:tRNA from 1 species
GCCGGGAUAGCUCAACGGUAGAGCAAUCGCUUCGUAAGCGAGAGGUUGGGGGUUCGAAUCCUCUUCCCGGCU